ACAUGUAAGUGAUCUGGUUAUAUUAUAUAUCACCCCUUUGAUUGCCAAGGUUAAGUCUGCUCAUCUGUGUAGAUAAGAGUAGCCCCUUCCUUUACUGUUCCAUGGGUACCUUCUCAACUGCACACUCUCUGUUGAAGAAAAUGAUGUCAUCUGAGAGGGAAUAACCAGCCUUUGCUUAAAUGUAUAUAAGUAGCUGUGCCCCCAUUACUAUAGCUGGUAAAUAAACUCUUAAGGCCCAAAUACUCCACUGACUAGAACUGCGAUUUGUGCUAUUCAUAAAGUGCUCUAGGGCACUGAUACUAUAAAGUCCUUGCAACAGCAAGAAGUAAGAUGAUUCUUACA
rnacentral:snRNA from 1 species